GACGAACGCUGGCGGCGUGCUUAACUCAUGCAAGUCGAACGGAAAGGCCCUGCUUUUGUGGGGUGCUCGAGUGGCGAACGGGUGAGUAACACGUGAGUAACCUGCCCUUGACUUUGGGAUAACUUCAGGAAACUGGGGCUAAUACCGGAUAGGAGCUCCUGCUGCAUGGUGGGGGUUGGAAAGUUUCGGCGGUUGGGGAUGGACUCGCGGCUUAUCAGCUUGUUGGUGGGGUAGUGGCUUACCAAGGCUUUGACGGGUAGCCGGCCUGAGAGGGUGACCGGCCACAUUGGGACUGAGAUACGGCCCAGACUCCUACGGGAGGCAGCAGUGGGGAAUAUUGCGCAAUGGGCGGAAGCCUGAUGCAGCAACGCCGCGUGCGGGAUGACGGCCUUCGGGUUGUAAACCGCUUUCGCCUGUGACGAAGCGUGAGUGACGGUAAUGGGUAAAGAAGCACCGGCUAACUACGUG
rnacentral:rRNA from 1 species